AUGAAGAUUCUGAAGGAUGCUAAGACUAAGAUUUUUCCCUCCAAGACGAGGGAAGGUAAGGAACUGCCAUCUAGCUCUGCACUUGAUUCACCUUCUGUUACAAGUAGACUUGCAACACCACCACAUGCUAUUAAUCCCGAUAUGUCGCAAGUUAUUGAUGAUGCUACUUCUGUUAUGAAUGAUACUCAUGAUGAUGCUAGUACCUUGCUUGAUGAUAAUGUGCCACUAGGUGAAUUUCUUGAUGCACAACUUGCUAGAACUAAAGCUUUUGAGAAUGCUAAACUGAUGAAAUUAUUAAAACUGAUGAAGAGCUUGAAACUAAAAAUCUUGAAACACCUACUAGAACUAGUCCUCCGAGAUAUGAAUUGCCUAAGAUACCAGAAGGUUAUGUUAUGGAUGAGGAGACAACUAGAGUCUUUCUUGUUUGCAAUGAUAGAGAUGAUGUUAAGAAAUUAUUAUGCAAACUGA
rnacentral:rRNA from 1 species